UGAGCAAUUUUCCUUCAAAUUAAUGUCCAUACUGAACCAUUUAUUUGGGGUUUCCCCCAAAAAUUUUCCCUUUCUCCACAAAUUUUAAAUAAAUCGUUCAAAACGAUUAAUUCACAUUUUAACAUUUUUCAUAACUAUUUUCUGUAUAUAGCAGAAAAAUAUCGAAGAAACAUUUAAAUCCUUACUGAAGUUCUUGUAAAGUGUAACACUAUACAGUAUACAAACAUAUACAGUAUACAUACACAUUAUUCUGAUGUCUUUCCCGAAACCAUGUAUUGUCUACACACAGUUUCUGCAGAAAUACCAGUAUCAUUAUCAUUUAUAUCUUAAUUUUACAAUGUAGUCCUUUUAAAAUUGCAUUGUCUGCCACAGUAAAAAGGGCAAGCACAUUUUUAAGAAAGGGUACUUCCGAAAAUCAAAUGACGAAAUUAAAAAGAAGCAGACAUAGGAAAGAGAAGCAAAUGUACAAUGUAUUGUUAUAUUGCUUCGUCAAGAUCGUCAGCCAUUUCUGAUACCUUGGAAAUAUAGCGACGGCUUUCAGAUUUCGGAUUGAACUUUGCAACGAGACUUUUUUUUUUGUUGAACAGCACCGAACACGUGUGGCGCAGACGCACUAUCCUUUACAGCUCGGUAAUUCAAGUUUUUCCCAGUUUCUAUUCAGUUCAUUUGGUAAGAGCCUUCGUCAGUCUGUAAAUAUUUUCCAUGGUCAAUUAAUCUUAAUAUAAACAAUAUAGAAUCCCGGACUAUUAAAUUCCCGUUAUUCACAUAGGGAAAGAGAAAUUUCUUAAUUUUGCGGAAUAUCGGUAGAUAUUGCGUAACAAAAUAAAACCUGAUUAAUUUUGUAUAAUUUUUUCAAAUAAUUUAACAAACUUGCGCUGCGGGUAUGUCUCUAAAAUCUAAAUCUGGAUCUCGGAAUGUUCCCGAGGUCACGAUGUUCAUACGGGCGAACAGACGGACAUGGCCAG